rnacentral:rRNA from 1 species
GUGGGGAAUCUUAGACAAUGGGGGAAACCCUGAUCUAGCCAUGCCGCGUGAGCGAUGAAGGCCUUAGGGUUGUAAAGCUCUUUCAGCUGGGAAGAUAAUGACGGUACCAGCAGAAGAAGCCCCGGCUAACUCCGUGCCAGCAGCCGCGGUAAUACGGAGGGGGCUAGCGUUGUUCGGAAUUACUGGGCGUAAAGCGCGCGUAAGCGGACCAGAAAGUUGGAGGUGAAAUCCCAGGGCUCAACCUUGGAACUGCCUUCAAAACUCCUGGUCUGGAGUUCGAGAGAGGUGAGUGGAAUUCCGGGUGUAGAGGUGAAAUUCGUAGAUAUUCGGAGGAACACCAGUGGCGAAGGCGGCUCACUGGCUCGAUACUGACGCUGAGGUGCGAAAGCGUGGGGAGCAAACAGGAUUAGAAACCCGAGUAGUCC